GUACUGAGUAUACCCGUUCCAAAAGUAAACAGUUAACAGCGGAUGACGUAACCAGACGUCGGCUCCGAUCGGUGCAUUGGGAUUUCUGUCCGUUGAUUACAUGCGCCUUAAUCAGAAUCUCUGUUUUCAGGCGGCGGACAAGGGGAAGUACGUUCGAAACAUCGCUGGCUAGUUCAAUGAAACAUUCGCCGCUGCGUUAGCGUUGGUCGGGAAGGGGAUGCAUUUAUUUCUUAAAGGUCGUUCGGCGGACAAUCUUCUUGGCGCUGUUCUCGGAUCAGCAGCAAAAACAACAAAUGCAGAAAAUACUUUUGGCAACAAAAACAGCGCCUUUCUCUUGCAAAGAAGAGCAGCUAGCGGCAGCGUCAGCAGCAGCAACAACAACAACACGUGACGCGCUUUGUAAAUGAAGAGAGCGCAUACGAGAGAGGCAUAGCAACAGCAGCAAAGAGCGUACCUGAGCGCAGUGUUGCUAUUUAGACUAUUUUGUAGCUAGUUUUAGCUCUUUUAGCUGGGUUUCGAUUCUGGCAACAAUUAGGCUAUUUAAAAAUAAAAAAUCGCCAGUUUUUAAGAGCUCAUGUUUACAUGCCAUAAAAAAAAUGUGCUAAGAGUGGCGAGCUAAUGCAGAGAUUUGGUAAAAAAUUGUUUAAUAAUGAAAGUUCUCAGUGAUAAUUUAAAAAAAAAAUCAAAAUCUUCUGUACCCCAUUUUAAGCAAUUUGUUUACUUGACUUAGCUUUUUUAGCGUUUCAAUUUAUGGCAACACUGUUGCUGAGAGCCGCUCUUUUUGAGAGCGACGCUGCUGCUGUCGUUCUUGUUGUUGUAACAUUACAAGACUAAGGCCAGAGACGCCGCGUGGUUUUAAGCCAAAUUAAAAGCCAGAGAUAUACGUUUAUGGAAAUUAAACAACAACAAAAAGCCUUAAUAAAUAAAUGGCACAACGGAAAGAUGCAGCUGGUAACGACAGAAGAAGUUCAUUAAACUCAAACAACGCCGCUCGCUGCGACAGCGACAGCGAGGGCGACUGCGUCUGCGUUUGGUGAGAGUUUUAUUUAUAAAGAAGAUUCGCGCUUCGCUAUUUUAGCCAAGUGAAAAUUCUGCGUGAUUAUGUAAUCACUACUGCCGGAAAAUUAGCACAUAGCGAAAUACUAGCGAUAAA